rnacentral:rRNA from 1 species
ACGAACGCUGGCGGCGUGCUUAACACAUGCAAGUCGAGCGGUAAGGCCUUUCGGGGUACACGAGUGGCGCACGGGUGCGUAACGCGUAUGCAACCUACCUCUAACAGGGGAAUAGCUCCGAGAAAUCGGGAUUAAUACCUCAUAGUAUCCUGAUAUGGCAUCAUAUCGGGAUUAAAGUCACGGCGGUUAGAGAUGGGCAUGCGUGGCAUUAGCUAGUUGGUGAGGUAACGGCUCACCAAGGCAACGAUGGCUAGGGGUCCUGAGAGGGGUAUCCCCCACACUGGUACUGAGACACGGACCAGAAUCCUACGGGAGGCAGCAGUAAGGAAUAUUGGUCAAUGGACGCAAGUCUGAACCAGCCAUGCCGCGUGCAGGAAGACGGCCUUAUGGGUUGUAAACUGCUUUUGUCAGGGAAUAAACCCUCCUUUGCGAAGGAGGCUGAAGGUACCUGAAGAAUAAGCACCGGCUAACUCCGU